UAGCCAUAUGCUUGUCACAAACAUUAACCCUUGCAUGUCUAAAUGUACUCAAAUUAUACUGUGAAACUGCAAAUGGCCCAUAAAGUCCCUGAUUUUUUAUUUAAUGUUUCUUCCUCCCUGGAUAACUGUGGGAAUUUUAGAGCUAAUGCAUGCUUAAAAGGCCCCGACUUCCGGAAGGGGUGUAUUUAUUACCAUAAAACCAACCCUCCUUCCCAGUUUGGCGAUUGAAACCAACUUCGGCAACCAUCCGGCCUUGAGCGGGGAAAGCUUCAUAUCAAUUGUAUGCCCUAUCACCUGCUCAAGGGCCGGAUGAAGCCCUAACUUGUGAUGAAUCGGCAAACGGGGAAUAGGGUUGUUUUUCUGGAAAGGAAGCCCCACAACCGGAAACCAGGUCUAAGGACGCAUGUAUGCGCUCAAAUAACCCAACCCCUACCCGGGUAGGAAGAAACAUUAAAUAAA
rnacentral:rRNA from 1 species